UUAGCGCCGCACCCCGCCGGCCAGAGCCACCGUCUCUCCAGACGCGGCCCCAGCGCCCACUGGGGAUGGCAAAGACGACAUCCGGUGCGCCGAGGCUGCUCACAAAAUCUUCCCACACAGGUUGAGAGAGGAGGGGAUCCAAUUGCCUGUGAGGAGGACACGGCUCCUGGGUGGACCCUGCAGAUUGUGAAGUUCAAGUCACAGCUCCUGGGAAGGUCUCUGUGUGUAAAGAUCGUGGGGGUGAGACAGAUUCAGGGACCACACUCUGCUCUGCUCUGUACCUCUGAGUGUCGAUCCAGCUGCCUUGUGACCAGGACACUUAGAAGAAGCAUGGACCCUGCAAGAGGAUGGGCUCAAGGACAGCUUGCCUGACUGCAGCCAUAAGGAUGAAGCCUCUUCAGGUAGAGAAGGACUCCAGGUGGGGCCUGUGCAGAGGGUUCUUACGGGCGCAGUAGGAUUGGGGCUAUAAAAUCAGUAAAUGGAAAAGGAGCCAGGUG
rnacentral:lncRNA from 1 species